rnacentral:rRNA from 1 species
ACUCCUACGGGAGGCAGCAGUGGGGAAUAUUGCACAAUGGGCGCAAGCCUGAUGCAGCCAUGCCGCGUGUAUGAAGAAGGCCUUCGGGUUGUAAAGUACUUUCAGCAGUGAGGAAGGUGAGUCGUUAAUAGCGGCCUCAUUUGACGUUUAGCUUGCAGAAGAAGACACCGGCCGUAACUCCGUGCCAGCAGCCGCGGUAAUACGGAGGGUGCGAGCGUUAAUCGGAAUUACUGGGCGUAAAGCGCAUGCAGGUGGUUUGUUAAGUCAGAUGUGAAAGCCCGGGGCUCAACCUCGGAAUUGCAUUUGAAACUGGCAGACUAGAGUACUGUAGAGGGGGGUAGAAUUUCAGGUGUAGCGGUGAAAUGCGUAGAGAUCUGAAGGAAUACCGGUGGCGAAGGCGGCCCCCUGGACAGAUACUGACACUCAGAUGCGAAAGCGU